CAGCGCCGCGGUAAGACAGAGGAUGCAAGCGUUAUCCGGAAUGAUUGGGCGUAAAGCGUCUGUAGGUGGCUUUUCAAGUCCGCCGUCAAAUCCCAGGGCUCAACCGGGGAGGGUCAUUGGAAACUGGGAAACUUGAGUGCAGAAGAGGAGAGUGGAAUUCCACGUGUAGCGGUGAAAUGCGUAGAGAUGUGGAGGGACACCAGUGGCGAAGGCGACUCUCUGGUCUGUAACUGACGCUGAGGAGCGAAAGCGUGGGGAGCGAACAGGAUUAGAUACCCCUGUAGUCCCUGUCUCUUAUACA
rnacentral:rRNA from 1 species